rnacentral:lncRNA from 1 species
UGGGAAUUAAUCCACCUUGGCCCCAUGUAUGCUCCCAGCCUAACCACGCAGGGGUCCAAAAGGGCCUCGGGUGGGACACAGAUCUGCUGGGACUGGGAGAGAGGCUGGUUCCUGGGGCCAGUGGCCAGCACCCCACAGAGCAGGGUGCAGUGUUUCAGAACAAGGCCCAGCCCUCCAGGGAUCCUCCCAGAAUCUGAGCUCAGUGAUGCUCAAGGUACCAGCGAUUCAACAAAUGCCAUGAUCCUCCGCUGGCCGCCUCGCGCCUAAGGGCUGGAAUCACCAUAAGAAACCCCCUGUGGGCAAGGGCUCUGCCCAGGCUUCCCUCAUGUGCCUCCCCUGCCCCCUGCAGGGGAGGCCACUCUAAAGGGGUCCUGGCCCCAAUUCUAUCGUGUGUGGAGGCUUCCCCACCCCAACAAACAAGUCUCAGAUGCCAGUAAGGUGUCCAAGACUUCAACUCGGUUCUGACACUGUCUCCCUGGAGAUAGAAUCAGAUGCCACAGGUGAGGGCUCAGUCCCACACGAUGCCCCCUCUUCAGAGGCCAGUGAGAAGCCCAGGUUGUCGCCUGUACUUCUGACUGACUGGCUAUAAAUCAGAGUUCCCACUACCUCCUCCCGAGUUUGAUGAAUCUGCAAGAACAGCUCACAGACUCAGGAAAACCCAUUUGCUCACUAGCUUACUGAUUUAUUUUAGAAGGGUGCGAAAGGGUAGGAUCCAUAGCCCGAGGGAGAGGUGUGUAGGGGCGGGGCGGGGGAGGGUCGAGGAGCUUCCGGGCUCUCCCUGGGCUCCACUCUUCCCAAACCUCCACCAGUUCACCAGCCCGGGAGCUGUCCAGACCUGGUCCUUUAGGGUUUUUAUGGAGGCUUCAUUGCAGAAGUGCGCUUGAUUGAAUCGCGGGCUGUUGGCAUUUGAAGGUCGGGGAAUGUGUCGGAAAGUUCCAACCCUCUAAUCAUAUAGUUCUCCUGGCUAUCCACCCCCAUCCUUAGGUGCUUCCAAAAAUCACCUCAUUCAGGUAACGAAAGACACCUACGUCAUUUCCACCACUUAGAACAUUCCAAAGCCAGGGAUUGUGGAUGAAAACCAAAUAUAUAUGAGAAAUAGGUUUGGUCACCUGAAUGACAAAACAUGUAUUUCUUAUGAACCACACAGUAUUGCAGCACUAAUUUAUAGUAAAUGGCAGGAGUUCCCAUUGCGGCUCAGUGGGUAGUAAACUUGACUGGUAUCCAUGAGAAUGCAGGUUCGAUCCCUGGCCUCCCUCAGUGGGUUAAGGAUCCGGCGUUGCCAUGAGCUGUGGUAUAGGUUGCAGACAUGGCUCAAAUCCUGUGUUGCUGUGGCUGUGGUGUAGGCCAGCAGCUGUUGGUCCAGUUCGCCCCCUAGCCUGGGAACCCCCAUAUGCCUCGCGUGCAGCCCUAAGAAAAAAAGACAAAAAUAAAAUAAAAUAAAAUAAAUGGCACACGCCAAAAUCUCUCUUUCCUAGGCUCUCCUAGGCUGGGAACUGGUAGUCAAUAGUAAAACACAUGGCAAAAUGCAAAACAUGUACCACAGAUGAGCCCCAAUUUAUGAUGGUUUAACUUAGAAUUUUUUGAUGUUAGGAGGAUGUAAAAGUAACAUGCAUUCAGUAGAAACCAUACUUUGAAUUUUGAAUUUUUCUAGGUUGGCGAUAUUCUUUUCAGUCCAAUCCUCUCUCGUGAUGCUGGGUGGUGGCAGCCACAGCUCCUGGUCAGUCACGUGAUCACAAGGGUCAACAACCGAUACGCUUACAGCCACUGUGCGCCCCAACCAUUCAGUUUUUCACGGGCAGUACAGUAUUCAGUAAAUUACAUGAGAUACUUAACACUUUUUUAAAAAGGAGUUCCUGCUGUAGCUCAACGGGUUAAGAACCUGACAUAGUGUCCAUGAGGACGCAGGUUUGAUCCCUGGCCUCACUCAGUGGGUUAAGGAUUCAGUGUUGCCGAAAGCCUCGGAGUAGGUCAUAGAUGCACCUCGGAUCUGGUAUGGCUGUGGCAUAGGCCUGCAGCUGCAUCUCCAAUUCAACCGCUAGCCUGGGAACUUCCAUGUGCCACAGGCGUGGCCCUAAAAAGAAAAGAAAAUCGACUUUGUGUUAGGUGAUCUGCCCAGCUGUAGGCUAGUGUAAGUGUUCCAAGCGUGUUUAAGGUAGGUGUGGCUAAGCCGUGAUGUUUGGUAGCUUAGGUGUAUCAGUGCAUUUCAACUUAGGCUAUCUUCAAUGGGUUUAUCAUAAGCCAGGGAAGAUUGGUGUGUGUGUGUGUGUGUCUGUACACAUAUACAUAUACACAGAGGCCCAUAUAUUAAAUAUUUUAGGUUAAAACAUGUCAAUGUGAUUAAUCACUAAUCUUCUGGUGUUAAUGUUACCAAGGCCUUUUUUAAAAAUUGCUGAUAAUAUAAUAUAUUAUAAUAUGAUAUAAUGUAAUAAUCAAUAUGAUUAGAAAUUUCUCUUUCAUUGUCCGUACCCAUAUUGCAUCAUUUACGAAUUCCAGUUUAGGUUUUUUAAAGUUAGCCCCAGAACUCAGCAAAGCAAUCAGAUUGUGUGUUGUCUUGAAUUUUAACAUUUUUCCAAACAUCCUAUAAAUGUUACACUCACAUCUAUUUUGACAGCAGGUUUGAAGUCAUCUUUUUUUUUUUUACUUUGUUAUUAUAGUUGAUUUACAAUGUUCUGUCAACUUCUGCUGUACAGCAAAGUGCCCCAGUUAUACAUAUAUAUACAUUCUUUUUCUCACAUUAUCUUUAUCAUGUUCCAUCACAAGUGAUUAGAUAUAGGUCCCUGUGCUAUACAGCAGGAUCUCAUUGUUUAUCCACUCCAAAUGCAAUAGUUUGCAUCUACUAACCCCAAACUCCCAGUCCAUCCCACUCCCUCCCCCUCCCCCUUGGUAACCACAAGUCUGUUCUCCAAGUCCAUGAGUUUGUUUCUUUUCUGUAGACAGGUUCAUUUGUGCCGUAUAUUAGAGUCUAGAUAAAAGUGAUAUCAUGUGGCAUUUGUCCUUCUCUUUCUGACUUACUUCACUUCAUAUGAGAGUCUCUAGUUCCAUCCAUGUUGCUGGAAGUGGCAUUAUUUUGUUCUUUUUAUGGCUGAGUAGUAUGCCAUUGUGUACAUGUACCACAUUUUCUAAUCCAUUCAUCUGUCAGUGGACAUUUAGGUUGUUUCCAUGUCUUGGCUCUUGUGAAUAGUGCUGCAGUGAACACUUGGUGAAUGUGUCUUUUUCAAUUAAAGUUUUGUCUGGAUAUAUGCACAGGAAUGGCAUUGCUGGAUCAUAUGGAACCAUACAAAUAUUUUCUUAGGUCAGUCUCCAAAAGCAGUAGAAAUAAAAACAAAAAGAAACCAAUGGAACCUAAUCAAAUUUAAACGCUUUUGCACAACAAAGGAAACCAUUAAAAAAAAACAAAACAAAACAAAACCAAAAAACCACCUAUGGAAUGGGAGGAAAUAGUUUCAAACAAUGCAACCAACAAGGGCUUCAUCUCCAAAAUAUACAAACACCUCAUACAACUCAACAGCAAAAAAAAAAACAAACAACCCAAUUGAAAAAUGGGCAGAAGACCUGAACAGGCAUUUCUCCAAAGAAGACUUACGGAGGCCCACAGGGACGUGGAGAAAUGGUCGCCCUCCCUAGUUGUUAGAGAAAUGCACCUCAAACCACAGACACCAGUCAGAACGGCCAUGGUUAAUAAGUCCACAAAUGACAAAUGCUGGAGCGGGCGUGGAGGACCGGGAACCCUCCUGCACUGUCAGUGGGAAUGUGAGCUGGUGCAGCCACUAUGGAGAACAGUGUGGAGGGGCCUCAGAAGACUACAGCAAAAGUCGUCUUUAUCAAACUCUCCAAAACGUUCAACUUAGUUCUUAUCGAAACACCUCUUCCUUUUUGUCCUUACAUGUUUCACUUUACGUCAUCAUUUAAUUUGGUAACAACUGAGGUGAGACGUUUUGAGCUCAAGCCCACGUUCCCCACGGAAGGUGCCUCUAGGGACCUGACCUCCACCUCCUUCCCGGUUCCUGAGUCGGCUGCUUUCACGAGCUCGGCGGCGGCAGGGCUGCUGCGGGAGCGUCUGAGGAGAGGACCUCCGUUGCCGCGGGUCCCUCUGUCACGUCCCCACACGCGUGAGCAGAACCCUCUGUGAAUGUAGAAGAUGAGCACAGGGAUGCAACCAGAGGGAUGAUGGGUGGGCUCAGUGCAGGAGGCCGUGGAGCAAGCUGGGAAAAUCAUCUCUAGGCCGUGGAUGGACAGGGCACUGCAGGAAGGCUGCCCCUUGAACUGGGUCAUCAACUUGACCACCUGACCUGUGUACACGCGGCACUGCGGGCGUCCCCGCUCCUCCCACUGCUCCAGCCUCCGCUUGGCCCUACGUUCUGGGGUCACCUGACCUUCUGGAAGGCUCGACCACAGGCUCACGCACAGCCCAAACACCACCCUCCCUUUAACUGUAACAUUUUCAGUUCUUGGAGGUGCCUAAGGAAGCUGAUGGGAAUACUAACAUUUACUCUCUUUGGGCUUCUGUCAUUCUGUCAGCAGAUGGUAGGAGGUGUGAACUUUGAAGGGAGACCAGGAUCCACGUGGUUUCCUUAAACCGGGCAGAGAGGAGAAGAACCUGACGUCAGUUUGCCGAGGCUGCCGUAAGGAAGCCGGCAGACUGGACGGCCUCAUUUCCUCCCAGCUCUGGAGGUUAGAAGUCUGAGGUCAAGGUGUUGGCAGGGUUGGUUUCCUCUGAAGCCCCUCUCCUUGGCUGGGACGUGGCCACCUUCUCGGCUUCACCUGGUCUUCCCUCUGUGGGCCCCCGUGUCCUCAUUCCCUCUUGGGUUUUUUUUUUUGUUUCGUUUUUUGUUUUUUUGCUUUUCCUUUGUUUUGACCGCACCUGCAGCAUGUGGACGUUCCCAGGCCAGGGAUCGAACCCAUGCCACAGCAGAGACCUGAGCCACUGCAGUGACAACACUGGAUCCUUACUUCUUCACCCUCUGAGCCGCACAGGAACUCCCUGCUCUCUUCUCAGAAAGACAGCAGUCCUAGUGGAUUAGGACCUGAUGACCUCAUCUGAAAGACCGUCUCCAGAUACAGCCCCAUUCGGGGGACCGGGCAUUAGGGCCUCAGCCCUUGAAUGGGGUUGGGGCGCGAUUCACCCAGUGACACAUCCCGUGGGGCUGACGUGAAAGGACGCGCCUGCUGGCAGAAGACACCUCCACGCCCUCCACGCGAGGAUGCUCGCUGGGGCGGAAAGGCGGCAGGGCACUUUCCAGCCCGGGUAGAACUGGACCCACGGACCCGCAGGGCAGGAGGCCGGCCGUGUGAACAAGGCUGGUUCCCCAGACACCACCCUCGGGCCCCCUCAGCUGUGAGACAGGGAUGGGCUGGCUUCCUGCCCGGCUCUGCCCACCGCACAGGGUGCCAGGGGAGCGUGGACCUGCUUCCUAAACUGUUACCACUGUAUGUGCGGGAUAUUCUUUACGUGUCAGGAUACUGACAACAAGCCGUGAUCUGGUUUUGAACACGAAUAGAAAAGACUUGGAAACAGUUCAUACUGUGUGACCGCACUGGCUGAGCUCGGUCUGGAAGUGACCGGAAGAGAGUCGGGGUGGAGGACAGAGGCGCCACCCCUGCCCGCCCCCUCUCCUCCCCCAGAGUGUGUCUCAGAGCAGCAGCUGCCCCCGGAUGGCACCGCCCCAUCUCCUGCUUGCGCCUCUGUCAUCGGCGGCGCCUCUUCUCUGGUCUCUCCCCUCAAGAUUCCAACCAUCACCAGUUCUCUCUGGGUGAAAAAGCCCCAUCCCCACCCCCAUCCCCUCUGCCUCCUUCUCCAAACACAUGGGGACCCCUGCUGUGGCCAGCUCCUCAGCCCCCCAACAUCUGGCUUCUGUCCCCAAACGCAAGGCCCCUCCUCAGACCGCUUGGCCCUCUCCCUCGUGCGCUCCUCGCCCUGGGCUUUUGCACCUUGGCCUCCGUAGCCAGUUCCUGAGAUGGUAAAAGACCCUGAGUGUGCUGUCCGAGUGCCAACCUCCCACCCCGGGCCCUGAGCAUCUGCACCUCCUCUAUCAGACUCACAUUCCAGGCCGCUGUCCACGGGCACCGGGCACCGCGGGGCCAAGAAGCAGGCCGGGGAAACAGCCCCCGCGGCGACCCUCACCAGCCAGUCCUCAGCCUGCCCUGCCUUUCCCGAGAGACCCACGGGAAAAGCUCCUACCCACGUUCGCCCCCUCCCUCUGCCCCGGGACCCCCCCUCCCCUGCUGCUCCCCUGCGUGGCCCCGCCGCCCCUCCUCUUGGGAACCGAAAGUGGCAAGCCAGCUUUUUGGGGGUUUUUUUGGGUUGUUUUUUUUUGGCCUUACCCGAAGCACGUGGAAGUUCCUGGGCCAGGAUCAAAACCCACACCACAGCUGCAACAAUGCCAGAUCCCUAACCUGCUGCACCGCGAGGGAACUCCCAAACCAGCUUUUAAGGGCAGAGGAACCAGGGCAUCCCUGUCGUGAGGGAUGUGUGUGGCCAGUCCUGAGCCUGGCUGCCCUCAACCCCCGCACCGCCAGAGGGACUUCAUCUCUGUGCCUGUCCCGCGUGCUGUCCCUUGGCGAAGUGAGAAGGAAAACCGUAGUGAAAGCUGGGCAGUGGUUGACUUGCGGCCUGUGGUGAUGCCGAGGAAGAGGACUUCUCAGUGGGCACGUGCUUUCUGGAGAAAGCCAAGCGCCUGCAGGAGCAUUUGAGCACCUACGAACGACAUUUAUGAAACUCUCUGCUCUUCCUCCUGAAAAUGUCAAGUGACUAAAAUUCUUAGAAGUCGUCAUGAGACCUUCCACCCAAGGGUAGAAUCUCCCGGACGCCUCGCUGCUUGCCCACGCCCCAGGAUUGGGACUCGGGGACCUCGCUAUAGAGCCCCAACCUACAGGGCCCCCUGGGCCUGUGCCUUCCUCUGGACGAAGCUCCCACACGCAGGGGAGGGGACCCUCCCAGGGGGUCGCUCUGACGGUUCCACCUGAACAUGGGAGUAUUUCGACUGGACCUGAAAAACAAACCGUGACCGUGGCUUUAUUUUUUACCCACCUAGCAUUUAAGGCAGACCCUUUACGCCUCCCUCCAAGUCUCACCUUGGCCGUGGGGCUCUGAUGUGGUUACAGGGGCUCAGAGCCGGGAGGGCUCAGGGGAUAGGGUGAGACUCAGAAGAGUGUCUGGAAAGAGGGGGUGCUCAGAAAGGGCGGGUGUGAUGAGUUGGACUUUCGUCACCCCCACACGCUAGGGUGACACCCUUACCCCCGAUACCUGUGUGAUGGCCUUAAUGGGAGAGGGUCUUCGCAGGUGUGGUCAAGUUCAGGUGAGGUCACUAGGGUGGGCCUAAUCCAGGAUGACCAGGUCCUUAGGAAGAGAAGAAAAUGCCACCUGGAGAGUUCCCACUGUGGCGCAGUGAUAACAAACAAGACUAGUAUCCUGAGGACAUGGGUUCAAUCCCAGGCUCAGCUAAGUGGGUUAAGGAUCCAGUGUUGACAUGAGCUGUGAUGUAGGCCAGCAGCUGCAGCUGCAGUUCAGCCCCUAGCCAGGGAACCUCCAUAUGCUGCAGGUGCGGCUCAAAAAAAAAAGAAAAAAAGAAAAA